GCAGCUGGGGCUGGCCUGGUCCUGUGACGCAAACCUGGUUCUUAGGAUGUAGCCGGAAUUUGCUGAAAGGUUCUAAGGAAGUUUUGGCUUUCUUGAUGAGAGAGGCCCAGCCCGAAAUGAUUCCCUCUCCCUGAGUACAGGGCGCUCAGCUGAAGCCACAGCAGCCCUGGCGAGACGAGGCCCCAGCAGGACAGGGACACCAAGGGAAUCACACAGGGCACAGCCCAGGCAUCGCUGGGUCACUGGGUCCCUCUGGAUUUGUGGCUGGACAAAAAGAAAUCCUAUUUGCUCCGGUCAGUGGUCCUCCGUUAAGGGUGAUCUUGCCUCCUAAGAACAUGCAACAACUUCUGGAGAGUGGAUCACCUGUUCCUGAAAUUAAAACUACUGCCUGUCUUCUGGCUGCUCCUGGGGAAGUGAUGAGAAAAAAUUAGAGAAUUUCAGCUUGACAUAAGAAUUUUUCCAAAGGAAGUGAGUUCCCCAUCGAUGGAGGUAUUCAAGCAGAACUGAGACAGUGCAGCAGCUUGUCCAGCAACCUCGAGGGAGCAGAAUGGGGGCCCAGGCAGCAGCUGGGCAAGCUACAGGCUUACAAUGUUAUGAUCAGACAAGUCUAUUGGCUAGAAACUGGCACUGCCAAUGGAAAACUCUGAAUAUGUACAACUUCUAGAUGUUUCUUCCUAAAGCUAAACAGAACGUGGACUCAGGACUGUUCUUGUAGAAGCACGUCCCCCACGCUGCAGGUACCACAGCCCCUGGCAGCAGUGAAGAGGCCCGGGCAUGGUCUCAGUUACUUCUCAAAGCUGGGACUCCUCACGGCCUCCAGUCCGGUGACAAGCCCAAAUGGGUCCAUGCUGUCGGUCUCCAGGGGCGAAGAGAACAUGUCAGAUUCCAAGUGGCC
rnacentral:lncRNA from 1 species